AACGAACGCUGGCGGCAGGCCUAACACAUGCAAGUCGAACGGGAUCUUCGAAUCUAGUGGCGGACGGGUGAGUAACGCGUGGGAACGUGCCCUUUGGUUCGGAAUAGCCCCGGGAAACUGGGGGUAAUACCGGAUAAGCUCUUCGGAGGAAAGAUUUAUCGCCAAAGGAUCGGCCCGCGUUGGAUUAGGUAGUUGGUAGGGUAACGGCCUACCAAGCCGACGAUCCAUAGCUGGUUUGAGAGGAUGAUCAGCCACACUGGGACUGAGCCACGGCCCAGACUCCUACGGGAGGCAGCAGUGGGGAAUCUUAGACAAUGGGGGCAACCCUGAUCUAGCCAUGCCGCGUGAUCGAUGAAGGCCUUAGGGUUGUAAAGAUCUUUCAGCUGGGAAGAUAAUGACUGUACCAGCAGAAGAAGCCCCGGCUAACUCCGUGCCAGCCGCCGCGGUAA
rnacentral:rRNA from 1 species